AUGAACGCUUUCUUCUUUCUUCACACAUUCAAGUCGAACGAUGAAGCCCAGCUUGCUGGGUGGAUUAGUGGCGAACGGGUGAGUAACACGUGAGUAACCUGCCCUUAACUCUGGGAUAAGCCUGGGAAACUGGGUCUAAUACCGGAUAGGAGCGUCCACCGCAUGGUGGGUGUUGGAAAGAUUUAUCGGUUUUGGAUGGACUCGCGGCCUAUCAGCUUGUUGGUGAGGUAAUGGCUCACCAAGGCGACGACGGGUAGCCGGCCUGAGCGGGUGACCGGCCACACUGGGACUGAGACACGGCCCAGACUCCUACGGGAGGCAGCAGUGGGGAAUAUUGCACAAUGGGCGCAAGCCUGAUGCAGCGACGCCGCGUGAGGGAUGACGGCAUUCGGGUUGUAAACCUCUUUCAGUAGGGAAGAAGCGAAAGUGACGGUACCUGCAGAAGAAGCACAGGCUAACUACGGG
rnacentral:rRNA from 1 species